rnacentral:lncRNA from 1 species
UUGAACAUAUGCUCUGUUAAUCUCUUUGGCAGCUUCCUCCUCAUCAUCAUCAUCUGCCUUUUCUAAACAUUCUUCCACACGGUUCAAAACUAUAAUGUCUUUAAAACAGUGGUCUUACCAAAAUAGGUGAAACCCGCAAAUAGCCUCUUCUACUUCUUUUCCUCCUCCUUCUCCUCUGACCUCAUGACCUUCUGGAACGGCGAAGUCUUUUUUGACUUGUGAGUUAUCUUCCGAUGAUGAUUUUUCUGCUGCGGCUCCUUCGGUUCCUGCAGG